rnacentral:rRNA from 1 species
GAGAAAUCAUAUUAAGGGCUCAUGGUGAAUGCCUUGACAUCAAGUAGCGACGAAGGACGUGGCGUGACUGCGAAAAAUUUCGGGGAGCCGUCUAGCAGGCUUUGAUCCGGAAGUGUCCGAACGGGGAAACCCGGUUGAGAAAACCUCAAUCAUCUCUGCCUUUGGUAGAGGAGCAAACCCGGUGAAGUGAAACAUCUCAGUAACCGGAGGAAAAUAAAUCGAAGAGAUUCCCUCAGUAGCGGCGAGCGAACGGGGAUAUAGUCCAAACCCUUCGAUUCGAUACUGUGUAUCUCACUCAGGGUAAACCUUUUGAACAGCCAAGAGGCUUGCCCCGAGCGAAGGUGCGUAGCAUCGAGUCGAGGGGGGUUGUAGGGGCGAUACAUUUCUUUAAUGCGAUGGUUGUAUACAGCACCGCAUUGAAGAUAAAGAGUUACAAAUUCGAUUGUUAGUGGAACCUGACUGGAAAGUCGGAUCAAAGAGGGUGAUAAUCCCGUACACGAAAAUGAUCGAACUCUUGUGUUGUUUCCUGAGUAUCCAUGGAUCAGACUGUCCGUGGUGAAGCUGGGCCUACUACGGUCCAAGACUAAAUAUACUUGGUGAUCGAUAGUGAACUAGUACCGUGAGGGAAAGGUGAAAAGUACCCCGAUGAGGGGAGUGAAAUAGUAUCUGAAACCAUGAGCCUACAAGGAGCGGGAGUCCGCCAUCUUUACGAUGGUGAGAUGACCGUGUGCCUAUUGAAGAAUGAGCCUGCGAGUGUAUUUGCACUGCUAAAUCUAAGCCUUUUAGGCGGAGAUACAGGGAAACCGAGUGUUAAUAGCGCGUUUUCGCUUUCUAAAUUGACAUCUGAUUUUGUCAGAUGUUUCCUAGGAAGUGAUAUGUAGUGCGAGUACGACCCGAAGCCGGAAGAGCUAGCCAUGACCAGGGUGAAGCGUUGCCGAAAGGCGCGUGGAGGCCCGCACCCACUAGUAACGCAAUACUAGGGGAUGAGUUGUGGUUUGGAGUGAAAAGCUUAUCGAUUUCGGUAAUAGCUGGUUCUCCUCGAAAUGCCUUUAGGGGCAGCGUCGUACAGUAAUUGUGGGGGUAGAGCACUGAUUGGUUUUCCUUGCCCUUUUGGGUAGGUCAACCAAACAAACUCCGAAUACCACAGUGGAAUGUGCGGCAGUGAGACCAUGGGGGCAAAGCUUCAUGGUCGCAAGGGAAACAGCCCAGACCAUCACUUAAGGUCCCAAAAUGUAUGCUAAGUGUGAAAGGAGGUGUAGUGCCUUAGACAGACAGGAGGUUGGCUUGGAGGCAGCCAUCCUUUAAAGAGUGCGUAACAGCUCACUGUUCAAACUCACCCUUCGGGGUGUGGAAGGCACUAUGCGCCGAAAAUGUAACGGGGCUAAGCAUACUACCGAAAGUAUGGAUACGGAGAUUUCGUGAAGGGAAAUAAUUUUUGCCGAAGAGCCACCCUAACCCGGGAACUGGGGUGGGGGUCUCCCCGGACCUUUCGCGAAAUCUCCGUGUGGUAGAGGAGCAUUGUAUGGGCACUGAAGGUGCGUCGUGAGGCGUGCUGGAGCGCAUACAAGAGAGAAUGCAGGCAUGAGUAACCGCAAGGUAGGUGAGACCCCUACCCACCGAAAGCCUAAGGUUUCCUCUGCAAUGUUGAUCAUCAGAGGGUUAGGCGGCCCUAAGGAUAACCCUGGCGUCAGUCGGGGGAAGCCAAUGGACAGCUGGUUAAUAUUCCAGCUCUUGUUUAAGUCAAUACCGAUGGGAGGACGGAGGAAAAAAGAUUAAGCGUGUUAUUGGAUUCACGUCCUUCGGUCUCAGAAUCGUUCCGAAAGAAAAUCUGCGGGACUUCCUUUAAUGGAAAAAUUCGGGAUUGAAGGGAAUACUCUUUUGAGUAAAUUUAAUCGAAGAGCCUUCCAAGAAAAGUCUCUAAGGUGAUUUAAACAACCCGUACCGUAAACCGAAACAGGUAGGCAGGUCGAGUAGACCAAGGUGAACGAGUGAUUCCUGGCUAAGGAACUCGGCAAAACAGCGGCCGUAACUUCGGGAUAAGGCCUGCCCGUAUAUCUUCGGAUAUAUGGGCCGCAGCGAAAGACCCCUGGCGACUGUUUAUCAAAAACACAGCUCCCUGCUAACUCGAAAGAGGAUGUAUAGGGGGUGACGCCUGUCCAGUGCCGGAACGUUAACGGUUGAGGUGUCCGCCUUUUGGCGGAUGCCAAGGCCCGAAGCGCCGGUGAACGACGGCGAUAACUAUAAUCGUCCAAAGGUAGCGAAUUUCCUUGUCUGGUAAGUUCAGACGUGCAUGAAUGGCGUAACGACUGGGGGACUGUCUCGGCCAGGAGCUCGGUGAAAAUGCAGUGACGGUAAAGAUGCCGUCUACCCGCACCAAGACGAGAAGACCCCAGAAGCUUUACUGCAGCUUGGUAUUGGGCUAUGAGUUUUACUGCGUAGCAUAGGUGGGAGACUUUGAAGUUUCGCUCUCGGGCGGAAUGGAGUCGUCAGUGAAAUACCACUCUGUAAUAUUUAUAGUUCUAACUGGCCCCGCCCUCCCUGUUCUUAUGGGUGGGGGGAAGAGAAAAAAUGGCCAAAAUCCUCAAGGCCGAAAGGUACAAGGUAUGCGCACGGGUGAGGCCCUUUGGCCGACGCAUUUUUAAAGACCCUUCUCUUCCCUCGCCCGCCAUUUAAGAAUGGAGAGGGCUGGGUCAAGACAGUGCCUGGCGGGCAGUUUCGCUGGGGCUGCGGCCUCCUAAAAAGUAACGGAGGCGUUCAUUAAGGUUGGCUAGCUGCGGAUGGAAAUCGCAGUGAUAGUACAAAGGCAAAAGCCAGCUUAACUGCAAGACGGAUAUGUCGCGCAGAUGCGAAAGCAGGACUUAGUGAACCGACUCUUAUGAAUUUUGAGUGUUUACAUUCGAAAUUUUGUUCGUAGGAACGGAGAAGAUUAACAGAUAAAAGCUACUCUGGGGAUAACAGGCUGGUACCACCCGAGCGUCCAUAGCGACGGUGGUGUUCGGCACCUCGAUGUCGGCUCGCCCUAUCCUGGGGCUGAAGAAGGUCCCAAGGGUUUGGCUGUUCGCCAAUUAAAA